AAAACAUCCUGAGGACAGUGCCUGGAGGUGAGAAGGAAGCCCCCGGCCUGGUCCAUACCCCACCACCAACUUGCAUAAUGGGGGGUGAUGUCACCCACCCUCCACUCCCCUCAAAGGAGCAGCUGCUCUGGUGGUCUCUCCCAGGCUCUGGGGGCGGACCCAUGGGAGGGGCUGUUUUUGUACAAAGCUGUAACAUUGUGGGGACAGG
rnacentral:lncRNA from 1 species